CCCUCCCUCCCAGACCCUCCUACUUCCUGGACAGCAUCCAUGUUUUAUGGAUGCUGUCCAGGAAGUAGGAGGGUCUGGGAGGGAGGG